rnacentral:rRNA from 1 species
AUGAACGCUGGCGGCGUGCCUAAUACCUGCAAGUCGCGCGAACAGACGAGGAGCUUGCUCCUCUGACGUUAGCGGCGGACGGGUGAGUAACACGUGGAUAACCUACCUAUAAGACUGGGAUAACUUCGGGAAACCGGAGCUAAUACCGGAUAAUAUAUUGAACCGCAUGGUUCAAUAGUGAAAGACGGUUUUGCUGUCACUUAUAGAUGGAUCCGCGCCGCAUUAGCUAGUUGGUAAGGUAACGGCUUACCAAGGCAACGAUGCGUAGCCGACCUGAGAGGGUGAUCGGCCACACUGGAACUGAGACACGGUCCAGACUCCUACGGGAGGCAGCAGUAGGGAAUCUUCCGCAAUGGGCGAAAGCCUGACGGAGCAACGCCGCGUGAGUGAUGAAGGUCUUCGGAUCGUAAAACUCUGUUAUUAGGGAAGAACAAAUGUGUAAGUAACUAUGCACGUCCUGACGGUACCUAAUCAGAAAGCCACGGCUAACUACGUG